rnacentral:lncRNA from 1 species
GCAUGCGCGGUCCCCGGGAGCCGCGUGGCGGUGCGCAGGGCGCGGGUCUCGGCGGCAGCGGGCGAGCGCCGGGACCGCGGGUGAGAGGCCACGCUGUGGGUGCGGUUGUCCGUUCGUCCCCCAGGGAUGCCGUUGAAAGCAGCAGCCUCAGGCUCGCGUGGGCUGUCUCUGCCUGGCCUCCCUCUCCUCGCGGCGCAGGAGCGCAGAGGGACAGGCGGAGCGCUUUACUGGCUGUGGGCAGGAGCUGCUGAAGCUGCAGAGGCCACAGAAAGGUAGAGAAGAAGAAACGGAAGGCUGACUGGCUGGCAGCUGCCUCCCGCUGCAGGCAAGAGAGAGCCUGCCUCUCCGGGUGUGGAAGGAUCCCUCCUCGUAGUCCACAUCAGGUCAGACUGCCAGGGUCUGUAUGCAUGACCGGCAGCGGGGUACGGCCAUGUAGCGAGCGAGCGAGGCUACAUGUCUAGGAGGCCUCAUCUCGUAAGAGCCGUGAGACGCUCGCGUGUUCUGUUAUGUGGAGGACAGCCAAGCGACUGGAGUUACAGAAGAGGAAGGGAGGAGAGGAGGAGAAAGAAGUGUCUGAGGUGGUGAGGUCUCCUGGCAGCUCCAAGAGCGAGAGCUGUGUGUCACCUUCCGCGUCACACGAAGAAAAUCCCGCGUGGGUAAUUCCGCUUGCUGCUCAGGUAAUCGCACGUAUCGGGCUGGGGGAGCGGAGAGAAACACUUGCGAGUUCGAGGGCGCUACAGAUGCUCCACGUUAAACCCACAGAAAAGGCAAAUUUGCUGCUAGUGCAGAAAAGCUGAUGGAAAAAUUGCUGUUAACAGAUCGUGCCCUGUUCUUGCACUGGUCUCUUGAUACGUUUUUGUUUCAGGUGAAAGAACGAAAUUUUGUGUCUGGUAAAUUCAGAGCUGCCUGUUAGCUUCUUUAGGGUCGAGUGUUUCUCUUCGCUCUGUUCGUACGGAUUUUAUGGGCAAGUUGGAAACAGCCUUUUACUUUUUUAUGUGUAACUGAAUUUUUAGGAAUAUGUGGUGUCCCUGUAGUUCAUUUUUGAGCACCUAGAAGCCAGUAGAAAUGUCAUGAGUGAAACGUGAUGGAAACUGGUACUUAAACUUGAUUUCUAUUUCGAUUUUUUUUUUUUUUUUUUUUCUUCUUCCCCAUUGAGAGUGUUGAUGGCAUGUUGUCCCGUGGCACAAUCCCCAUUCCGUUCAGUGGAGUCUUCAGUCUAGGACUUUUAAGUAAAAAAGUUUGUCCUUCCAAAAAAG